rnacentral:tRNA from 1 species
GGGAACAUAGAUUAGUGGCAAAUCUUCUAACCCCUGACGGGAGGGGUUAUCGCGAGUUCGAUCCUCGCUGUUCCCA